rnacentral:tRNA from 1 species
GGCCAGGUAGCUCAGUUGGUACGAGCGUCCGCCUGAAAAGCGGAAGGUCGCCGGUUCGAUCCCGGCCCUNGCCA